CGGAAUAUACUUCGAGCCGAUACUCCUGAGUUUGUCCCCUCACUGGCCCAUAAACCUUGUGAGGAACACUUGGGAAUAAUGCAAAAACGUUCUGUGGAAUGGAAGGGAGUGUGCCUUACAUCUGGUGACCUCAAAGCAGGCCACAUAAAUCCAACAUCUGCACCAUCAGUUGCUCUAUUUGAAGAAGCACCCAUCCUACGAGAGUCCUUUGAAGGUUCAUUUGAUCCGGUGCGACAUCAACGGCGGCAAAGAAAUGUCCGUCGAUCUUGGAUUGAUCUUCCAGCUGCCGUAGAUCAAGAGGCGGCGAGCCGACACCGUUCUCAUGUGAGCAAGUCCGUCAAGGGGAGAUGGAAAAACACUCGUCCAAAGAUCCAAGUUCGGAAUCCAGAUGACUCAUAUGUUGUUCUUCCCGGUGCAUCCACAUCACAAAAUGAUGAGGGUGGUGCCAUCAUGCGACUGGCGGAGGCCCUGGCCCAACGGCCUGAGUACCAAGAAUUCAUUCAGCAACAUCAUGAACAUCAAGAGUAUGUGAACCAAGCUGCUCAUGUCCGUUCAAGAAGGGCGGCGUACAAAGAAAGAGAAAGGGCAGUACGGGCAAGGUCUGGGUCAAGCAGAGUCCAAGGGGCAGAACACGCUCCAUCAGAUGAGGACAGUCAGGCUAAAACCAAGAAUAAAUCAUUCGAGGUGUUCCAAGCAAUGCCAGUUGGUGUCAGGGUGGCGUCAGACAAGACCAGCGAAACAUCCUCCACAUCAACACAUUUCAAGAGGAAGAAGGCACACAAAACUGUCAUAGAAGGUCCUCGUCGUAGUACACGAAGCCAAAAGGGUUCAGAUUAUGAAGAACUUGGGUCCAGCUGUGGUGGGUCUUAUAAUCCCCUAUCGGACAGUACCCCAUGUCCUUCUAAAAAUGAGAUAGAACUCCAGCAUGGUGCAGAGCAU
rnacentral:rRNA from 1 species